rnacentral:rRNA from 1 species
AUUGAACGCUGGCGGCAUGCCUUACACAUGCAAGUCGAACGGCAGCACGGGGGCAACCCUGGUGGCGAGUGGCGAACGGGUGAGUAACAUAUCGGAACAUACCCUAGAGUGGGGGAUAACGUAGCGAAAGUUACGCUAAUACCGCAUACGAUCUAAGGAUGAAAGUGGGGGAUCUUCGGACCUCAUGCUCAUGGAGUGGCCGAUAUCUGAUUAGCUAGUUGGUGAGGUAAAGGCUCACCAAGGCGACGAUCAGUAGCUGGUUUGAGAGAACGACCAGCCACACUGGAACUGAGACACGGUCCAGACUCCUACGGAGGCAGCAGUGGGGAAUAUUGGACAAUGGGGGCAACCCUGAUCCAGCAAUGCCACGUGAGUGAUGAAGGCCUUAGGGGUUGUAAAGCUCUUUUUGCCAGGGAAGAUGAUGACUGUACCUGGAGAAUAAGCCCCCGGCUAACUUCGUGCCAGCAGCCGCGGUAAU